rnacentral:misc_RNA from 1 species
AAGAUAGUGUAGGUCUGGAUUCACGGCGUUAGUGGUAAAAAACAUGGGAUUGCUGAUGCGAAGGGUGUAGAGAAUGUUGUAGGUAGGGUAGGAAAAAAUGGGAAGAUUGAGAAAUGUUAAAGGAGUAACUAAUGGUGGGUCAUACAUUGAUAUGCCUCCAACAAGGACACACCCAAGCAUCACCUUGGCUGCUUUAGCAGCCAUUCUCUCCUCCCUUCUCCUCUUCUAAAUCUUGUUUUUCUGCAUGUGUGGAUAGGUGGUUGAUGGGUAUGAGCAGGUGUAGCAGGCAGAGGGGAGCAAAUAAUUGCAUGUGAAUUUUCGGUUGGUUUCUGAAUUGUUUAUAUAAUAACUCAGGGCGUUAAUGUUGAUGGGAAAGUGUAUGGAUGUGAUAUAAAUAAAAAGUUCUACUUUAGUGCUCUGCUGCAUAAGUCAAUCGAACCUUGUUUUUGAGGGUUUUUGCAGCUGAUUUUUUUUCCUAGG